rnacentral:rRNA from 1 species
AGCAGUCGCCGCGGUAACACGGAGGAUCCAAGCGUUAUCCGGAAUCAUUGGGUUUAAAGGGUCCGUAGGCGGUCUUGUAAGUCAGUGGUGAAAGCCCAUCGCUCAACGGUGGAACGGCCAUUGAUACUGCAGGACUUGAAUUAUUGGGAAGUAACUAGAAUAUGUAGUGUAGCGGUGAAAUGCUUAGAGAUUACAUGGAAUACCAAUUGCGAAGGCAGGUUACUACCAAUUGAUUGACGCUGAUGGACGAAAGCGUGGGUAGCGAACAGGAUUAGAUACCCCCGUAGUCCCUGUCUCUUAUAC